UACGUAGGGCGCAAGCGUUGUCCGGAAUUAUUGGGCGUAAAGAGCUCGUAGGCGGUUUGUCGCGUCUGCUGUGAAAUCCCGAGGCUCAACCUCGGGCUUGCAGUGGGUACGGGCAGACUAGAGUGCGGUAGGGGAGACUGGAAUUCCUGGUGUAGCGGUGGAAUGCGCAGAUAUCAGGAGGAACACCGAUGGCGAAGGCAGGUCUCUGGGCCGCAACUGACGACUGGAGGAG
rnacentral:rRNA from 1 species